rnacentral:rRNA from 1 species
GGGUUCGAGUGAGGCCUCUGGGUCACCUCCCACCCGUGUCUAUCGUACCUUGUUGCUUCGGCGGGCCCGCCGUUUCGACGGCCGCCGGGGAGGCCUUGCGCCCCCGGGCCCGCGCCCGCCGAAGACCCCAACAUGAACGCUGUUCUGAAAGUAUGCAGUCUGAGUUGAUUAUCGUAAUCAGUUAAAACUUUCAACAACGGAUCUCUUGGUUCCGGCAUCGAUGAAGAACGCAGCGAAAUGCGAUAAGUAAUGUGAAUUGCAGAAUUCAGUGAAUCAUCGAGUCUUUGAACGCACAUUGCGCCCCCUGGUAUUCCGGGGGGCAUGCCUGUCCGAGCGUCAUUGCUGCCCUCAAGCACGGCUUGUGUGUUGGGCCCCCGUCCCCCUCUCCCGGGGGACGGGCCCGAAAGGCAGCGGCGGCACCGCGUCCGGUCCUCGAGCGUAUGGGGCUUUGUCACCUGCUCUGUAGGCCCGGCCGGCGCCAGCCGACACCCAACUUUAUUUUUCUAAGGUUGACCUCGGAUCAGGUAGGGAUACCCGCUGAACUUAAGCAUAUCAAUAAGCGGAGGAAUC